AGCGGCAUCGUAAGAUGACAGUUGUUAAAGAUUUAUCGCUUGAAGAGGAGCUUUGCGGCAGAUUAGCUAGUUGGUAAGGUAAUGGCUUACCAAGGCUACGAUCUGUAACCGGUCUUAGAGGACGGUCGGUCACACUGACACUGAAUAACGGGUCAGACUCCUACGGGAGGCAGCAGUCGGGAAUUUUGGGCAAUGGGCGAAAGCCUGACCCAGCAACGCCGCGUGAAGGAUGAAGUAUUUCGGUAUGUAAACUUCGAAAGAAUAGGAAGAAUAAAUGACGGUACUAUUUAUAAGGUCCGGCUAACUACGUG
rnacentral:rRNA from 1 species